AUGGGACUCGGAAGCAGUGGCGAGCCACCCGGAUUCCAAAGGGAAAGAAACUCAUGGUCCUACCUGCUCGCUGGUGCUGCAAAGUGUGAGAACCCCGAGUGUAAGCUGGGCUGGAGCUGCAACGUUGCUCCGGCAGCCGUGGCUGAGGAUGGGCAUGCCAGAGGAGUGACUCCGAGGUGCUCAACUGAGGCCAGCCGGGAAGAGGAACACCACAAAGUGGGUGGGGACACCACCAGGAGCAUCCCUACAUGCCAUCCUGGGUGCCCUCCAUACCUAUACACCAUCCUGAGCAUCUUCCAGGAUGGGAGUCCUCCAUUCCUAUGUGCCUUCCUGGGCAUCUUCCAUCCCUACGUGCCAUUCUGGGCGUCCUCCAUCCCUACACACACCAUCCUGGGCAUCUUCCAGGAUGGGAGUCCUCCAUCCCUACGUGCCUUCCUGGGCAUCUUCCAUCCUUACGUGCCAUCCUGGGCAUCCUCCAUCCCUACACACACCGUCCUGGGCAUCUUCCAGGAUGGGAGUCCUCCAUCCCUACGUGCCAUCCUGGGCAUCCUCCAUCCCUACACACACCAUCCUGGGCAUCUUCCAGGAUGGGCAUCCUCCAUCCCUACACGCUCACUCCAGCAGCAGCAUCAUCUCUGCCAGGGAUGGGCUCCAAGGAGCUUUCCCUUUUCCCGGCUGGGAAGGGCGAGCAGAGGUUUUGGGGUCUCCCCCGUCCUGCUGCCUUCUCCUGCCGGUACCCGCUGUGUUUGUGCACCUACAAGGACACAGGUGGGACAUGCAAAGUCAGUCCGAUGGGUAAAGCCACCUCUCGUUGUCCAAGGGCUUUUUUUGACGGCUGGAUCCUUCUCCACUGUCCCUGGCCAUGGUGGGAGCGCUGGUUGGGGGGGUGCUGGUGUCACCCCCAGCGGGGCACAAGGAUGCCCCGUGUCCAGCCGCUUCCUCCCAAACACACAGGGACCACGCGGGGCUUUUAAAAUACCAUUUAUUACAAUGGAGCCUUCCAGGCUAAAAUCCCAAGCCGGGGGCCUGGGGUUGGUUUCUGGUGUGGCAGGUUGGGGGGAAAAAGUGGGUUUGGGGUUGUUUUAUUUUUUUUUUUUUUUUUUGCUUUAA
rnacentral:lncRNA from 1 species